GAUGAAGAACGCAGCGAAAUGCGAUAAGUAGUGUGAAUUGCAGAAUUCCGUGAAUCAUCGAAUCUUUGAACGCACAUUGCGCCUUCUGGUAUUCCGGAAGGCAUGCCUGUUCGAGAGUCAUUAACAACCGUUUCGAUCCCUUUCUUUCAGAAAUUACAAAGAGGAAAAGGGUUUGGUUAUGGUGGAGGAGGGAAAGGGAGCGUUUAGCCUGUAAAAAAAGAGGCUGUGUUCCGCCUCCCCCCCAAAAUUUACAGGCGGUCGUGUGCGCCCACGCAUCGAGGUGUUGUAAAAGCUGCCACGGCACUUUUCACCUGUGCAGUGCGAGAUUGGCCAGCCGGUUUAAAAACCCCUCCAAACAAUCAAAGGUUGACCUCGGAUCAGGUAGGGAUACCCGCUGAACUUAAGCAUAUCAAUAAGCGGAGGA
rnacentral:misc_RNA from 1 species